UCGAGGAUCUUCCGCAAUGGGCGAAAGCCUGAUCCAGCAAUGCCGCGUGAGUGAUGAAGGCCUUAGGGUUGUAAAGCUCUUUUACCAGGGAUGAUAAUGACCGUACCUGGAGAAUAAGCUCCGGCUAACUCCGUGCCAGCAGCCGCGGUAAUACGGAGGGAGCUAGCGUUGUUCGGAAUUACUGGGCGUAAAGCGCACGUAGGCGGUUAUUCAAGUCAGAGGUGAAAGCCCGGGGCUCAACCCCGGAACUGCCUUUGAAACUAGGUGACUAGAAUCUUGGAGAGGUCAGUGGAAUUCCGAGUGUAGAGGUGAAAUUCGUAGAUAUUCGGAAGAACACCAGUGGCGAAGGCGACUGACUGGACAAGUAUUGACGCUGAGGUGCGAAAGCGUGGGGAGCAAACAGG
rnacentral:rRNA from 1 species